UGAAUGUUUCAAGUUUAUUUUUUGAUCCCUAAUUAUUGUUGGAUUUAUCAUAUUCUUGGUAACUCUUUCCGAAUUUUAGAUUAACCUCUUCAACUCUUUUUUCCACCACUUUUUGUUUUAUAUUCCUACUCUUUUUAUUGAAUUCCAACAUUUUAUUUGGAAAUUUCAAGUUAAAUUUCUAAAUUCCCACUUUCAAUUACAAUUUAUCAAAUUUUUAGUAAGUUGUUUCAAUUCAUUUUUCCACCGGUUAUUCGUUCUAUAUUUCC
rnacentral:lncRNA from 1 species